GCGAGUUUGAUCAUGGCUCAGGACGAACGCUGGCGGCGUGCUUAACACAUGCAAGUCGAGCGGAAAGGCCCUUCGGGGUACUCGAGCGGCGAACGGGUGAGUAACACGUGAGCAAUCUGCCCUUAGCUUCGGGAUAGCUCCGGGAAACCGGAAUUAAUACCGAAUAUGACUACGGUUGACAUCAGCCAUGGUGGAAAGUUUUUCGGCUAGGGAUGAGCUCGCGGCCUAUCAGCUAGUUGGUGGGGUAACGGCCUACCAAGGCGACGACGGGUAGCCGGCCUGAGAGGGCGACCGGCCACACUGGGACUGAGACACGGCCCAGACUCCUACGGGAGGCAGCAGUGGGGAAUAUUGCGCAAUGGGCGAAAGCCUGACGCAGCGACGCCGCGUGGGGGAUGAAGGCCUUCGGGUUGUAAACCCCUUUCAGCAGGGACGAAGCGAAAGUGACGGUACCUGCAGAAGAAGCGCCGGCUAACUACGUGCCAGCAGCCGCGGUAA
rnacentral:rRNA from 1 species